CCAUUGAAGCUUCAAGAAGAGCGAGUUCAACCUUGAAUCCUUCUCAGCUCAAUCUCACCAUAGAGAUUUAGACGAAGAAGAAUUGAUUUAAAGAAGAAGUGAAAGCAGAAGAAGAGAUAUACGAGUUCGUACUUGCUAAUCAAGUGAUUUUUCGUCACCUAUUUCGUCUUCUCCGAUUCAACUUUUUGUCGGAGUGAUCCUCAACUUCAGAGCAACUACGACGACUCGUCAUCACUAUUAUACCCGUGCAAACAAAUCCAAACUCAUGGCUGAUUACAAAUCCGAUAACGCUGUCGUCAAGGAGACUCUCACCCAAGUCCAGGGCAUAAUGGAUCUUUUUUAGGGAAACAUGGAGACCAUUCUGAAAAUUCUCCAAUCUCAGAGGGUUUCUACCUCUAUUAACCCUACUGUUGCAAAUGUCACCAAUGUUGUUGGGGUGGCCAAUGCUACUGCUGAUGUCAUUGUCAUUGUCAAAACUCCUAUGGAGACCGUGGUAUCGACCGUUAUGAAUCAACACAUGUGUUCCUUCUGCUGCAAAUAGGCUUGUUGAUGCUUAUCCCUGUGAAAUGCCCUCAAACUUUGAUGCUCAAUUUGCAAAUGGGGGUGCCUUUAUCCCUCAUCAAGCUCUCGUCGCCCCUAAUGUUGUCGGGAAUGUUGUUAUCCCAUGGGGUGUGCCCAUGAUCCAGACUUCUCCCACAGUUGAUGAUGUCAACCCCAAGGAUGCCCAAGAUCAGGUUCUUGCUGAAACUCCUAACAAAGAAGAUGAGCACCGAGGCCCACGCCUCCACUUUCAGAUUCCUUCCCAGGCUGCUCAACCUGCGAAUCCGAAUCAAUUUCAAGUUGCUCCAUUUGCUUACAUUGGGGACACUUUUGUUCCAACAUUGUCGUAUGCACUUACAAACCCUGCACUCCAGUAUGUGCAGGUUGGGGCCCCUCAGGUCCCUAAUGCUCAAGCUGGAGGGAAGUUCCCUCACAUGAUGCAUGUUGCUUCCCAAAUAGUGCCUCCUGGUUUCUCUUAUCCGCCGUAAUUGUUGUUUGCUCCCUAAAAUGUGUAUGUUCAGGCAUUUGUUUAGGACACCUCCCGGCCAGCCAGUCAGGUCGUCAUUCCUACUGCUAGUUCGGCCCGGGCAGCGGAUUACAAGUUAUUGGAUGAUAAAAUAAGGGUCAUCAAAGGUUUCUCUGCCUUCGACAUAAAUGCAAGAGAUCUUUGUUUGGUUCCUAACGUGGUACUUCCUCAGAAGUUCAAAGUACCAAAUUUACUGAAGUAUAAGGGGCUAAGUUGUCCUCGAAGUCACAUUACGAUGUACUGCAGGAAAAUGGCAUCGUAUAUUAACAAUGAUCAUCUGUUAAUCCAUUAUUUCCAAUAUAUUCUGUUAGGCACAAAAGUCCAGUGAGACUUUUAAAGAGUAUGCUCAAUGUUGGCGUGAAAUGGCUUCCAGGGUCAGACCGACUUUAUCAGAUAAUGAACUCGUUGACAUCUUCAUGGGUACUCUUCAUGGGUUGUACUUUGAGAAAAUGAUCGGCAAUUCUUCCACUAACUUCGCAAACAUGGUGACUAUUGGUGAACGUGUCGAGAAUGGGGUCAAAUCGGGAAAGAUUGCAGGUACCGUCGCCCAAUAGACUAUGAAUAAGAAGCCGCGUGAGGGCUUUACGAAAAAGCAAUAAGGGGAGACAAAUGUUGUAACGACAAGUGUCCAUCCCCUAUAUCAAUUUCCUAUGGAUCUCAUGCCAUAUUAUCUGUAUCUUUAUGUUGUCGUUGCUCAGUAUCAACAACCUUCGUGUAAGUAUUAACCCCAUAAUCGCAAUCAGCAACCAACACCGGCUCAGAAUGCCCAGAAUCAACAGAACACUCGUGAGUAUAGGGGUCAAGGCCAAGGCCAAAACAAUAGGAAUGGCUAUGGAAAGCGUCUUUAUAUUAAUAAGAUAUUGGUACCAUAUGCUAAACUGGUACCCUAUCUGAUUCACAUAGGGGCCCUCAUACCAAAAUAAAUUCCACCUUGCCUUUCUUCCUAUCAUGCCAAAUACAACCCUAAUGCCUCAUGUGCCUUUCACACAGGGCAUAUAUGGCAUUCCACUGAAGAUUGUUGGCCGCUCAAGAAUAAAAUCCAAGAGUUGAUUAACCAGAAGGUUUUGUCUUUCUCAGAAGAAAAGCAUAAUGUGAAAACAAACCCUCUGCCUAAUCAUGGUGGCCCAGCAGUCAGUGUUGUCAUUGAAGAAGAGAUCACUGAAUCUGUUAAGAGGGCUGACAAUGUGAAGACUUCAAUGUUGGUAGUGUUGAAAAAGCUUCAACAGUUUGGGUUUCUAGUUGGCAUCCAUGAAGAUUGCAUUGUGUGUGAAUUUGAUCAAGAUAUUUGUAAUGACCUGAAGGAUUGUAUAUAAGAGUUGAUGAAUCAAGAGUUGAUACAGUUUUCCAUAUCUAAGGCAGUUGAAGAGAUUGUAGUGAUUGAGCCUAUAAUUAUUGUGUAUAAGAAGAAGAAGGUUGAAGCUCCUCCUAGGAAGGUUCAGUCGAUUCAUAUUCGUGUUCCUAGUCUGUUCCCAUAUCAGAACACCAAGCCGGUACCUUGGAAGUAUGAAACAACUGCGUAUGUGGGUGAAAAAGAGAUUCAACCCUGACACUGAAAUUGUUAAUAUAUCUAGAGUGGGAGGCAUGACUCGUAGUGGUUUUGUAUUCGCUCCAAAAUACACUCCUAGGGUGUCUCUGUAGGAGAAUUGCCAUCCAAGGCGCAGCGGAAUUUAAAAAUUUCUCCAUUUAGUUAUCCUUACGAAUGGGCAUGAUCAGUGAUAGAAUCGUUACCUCUUGUGGCGAUUCAGACCUUUGGUGCAGAUCUCUGAUAAUGAUCAAAACCUUUGAUACAGAUCCACGGGGCGAUCACGAACGUUGAACGAUGACAACGUUUCUACUCAGUCCACAUGAACGAAUUCCUUCAAUCGCAGUGCUAGCUGUUAUGAAUGAAGGCUUUGAGUGAGAGAGAGAUACGAAAUUCCAACUCUUCAGUUGUGUUUUCUGUCUCAGUGAGUUACAAUGCUUCUACCCAAGGGGUUCUAUUUAUAGAACCACUUGUGUGGGCUUCAAGUCAAAAAGCCCACUUAAGUGCAUUUUGGCCCAUAUCUCAUAAUAUGCCAAAAUCACUUAAGUAUUUGGUACAUUACCAUAUUUCGUAUUCUACUUAAGUACACCGUACCUUACGAUGUUCCUUAAUUAUUCUAUCUCUCAUCAAUCUGUCCUUUGUGUGUGACCCUAUAGGUUUUCGCGGCGUUGGCAAUUAUAUUAAAUCACGCAUUUAACAUAAUAAACAGUGAGCGGUAUCUAGCAACACAUCACUGCUACCCAAGUCACGAAAAUGGCAUGUGAUCUGACAAAACCUCAUAUGAUAAUAAUUAUGUGUAUAAUUACCCAUUUGCCCUUAUGUCUAUUGUCAUACGGUGAACUGACUUGGGGUAUUUUGCUUUUUAUCGCAAUGUCGCGGAUAGCAAGAGUCGCCACCGACUUUUCUUUUAUCCAAUAAGGAAAGGUGGAAAAGAACAGGAAAGACCUCAAUAGAUUUUGGGUUCGGGAGGUACAUUAUAUAAAGGGAAGGUAUUAGCACCCUUUGUAUCCAUGGUUAUCCAUGGGCUCUUAAUUGCUGGAUCACUUAUAUUUUUGUCUGAAAAGUGUUGGUGAAUUGUUUAAAAAUGUUUCGAAAGAGAGUUUAACUUUGUAAUGAUUCUCGUAUGAAUGUAUACAAAGUAUUUAUCUCGUUUGAUUUGAAAAACAGUUUAGAAAAAUAUAACUUGAUAAUGAUUCUAGUAUGAAUGUAUACCAAGUGGUGAUUUUCUAGGACUUGCAAAGUGUGAGGGGUGGAAAAUGUUUUAGGUUAUGAUCCAGUAAUUGAGAGUUAUACCUUCCUAAGGUCGUUAUGGGCAUUUCCUAUCCUUAUGAGGGUAAAACUGUCCUUACUAUUGAGAAGUAAGUAGUUUUAUCCUUUGGAUGUAAAAGGGUCAUUGUAGGGUCAUCGAUAGGUCAUUGAAGGCAACAGUUGUAAGGAUACCUUAGCAUUCGAAGGGACGAUCAUCAUUUAACCGUAGGCUACACCGAAGGGUCAUCGAGGGACAAAAUCAUAUAUUCGAAGGCAACAUCCGAGGGACUAUGAUUUAUUUUAAAGGGACAUGAUGAUUUAAUCGAAGGGUCUUUGCUAAGGGUAUCCCCACAUUCGCGGGACAUGACCGUAAUACCGUAAUAUCGUAAGGCAAUAAAGAGAGGUCCAAGAUCACAUAUUUAGAGGCCGUAUUUUACAAUCGAUUAGGUAAUUAGGAUGAAUCUCCACAUUAAAAUUAAUACAUUAAAAUUAAUACAUUAAAAUUAAUUAGGUAAUUUAGGGUGAAACUCCACAAGGGUAUCCCACAAAUAAAGUGGAAGACCUAGACAGCAAUCUUUUCCUGGGAAAGGUGAACCUUUACAAAAUUCAGCAAACGGGUUAGAGUACCAAGUCAGGAUGCAAUCAAGGAUUGCACUGCAAAAGAAACCAGAACAGCAGUAGGGUCAGAUAAACAAUGCAUGGCUAUGAUAAAAACAUGACAGGUUAGCAAAGGACAGAACAGAAAAAUCAGCGACCGUCCCGGUCGCCGCUGCCUCGCCUAGCGAGGGCUUAGCGAAUACUCGCUGCAUGCUCGCUUAGCGAUGUGCUAGCGAGCAGCUGCGGAUUCUGGUCUUGAUAACAGCAUAAUGUCAGCAAGCUUCACACCUUAUAGCAUCCAUUACAGAGAUUAUGUGGUUAGACAUUCAGGUGUUCAUGCAUACUUAAAUUCAUAUGUAAAACUUAAGAUAGUUUCAUAAAUUCAAUCAUGAUACCAUAUGCAAAUUAAGAACAUAAGGUAGUAAUAGCAACGCCAACCUGUUUGUAAUCGAAUUGUAACCUUGAGUUGGCCGAUCGGAUCGAAUUGAGCGGAAGUGACCUUGCUGCCGCCGGCUUUUCCUUCAGGGUUUCCUUUAGGGUUUUCCGUCUGUGAGCGCUAGGGUUUGCUUGCUAGGGUUCUCCUUUCGUCCUUUUUCCAUUACUGAAGUGCUGGUAUUUAUAAUGCUCUUCUUUGUGACCUAAUGGGCUCAGAGUGAAGCCCAGAAUUUUCUGUUAUCUGUCAGCUUCGCUAGGCGAGCGUGUAGCGAACGUGUAGCGAACGUUCGCUAGGCGAGCGUGUAGCGAACGUGUAGCGAACAGGCCAGUUUGGGCCAUUUUUUGGAUUGGGCCAUUCGUGAGUUGGGCCUUCGUUCCUUUAAGAUCAGUGUCAUAAAAAUGAGUCGGAGUGCCCUGAAAAAUGUCUUAAAAUAUUAAUGGGCAAAUUUUGGGGUAUGACAGCUGCCCCUGUUCAAUAUUCUUGAACCGAGAGAGUCAGAAUGGUAUGUACGCCAUUCGUGGUCUGGAGGUGGAAGAUUAUUGAACACUUAGAACGCCCCAAAAAUUUGCACUUGUCAAUUAGUUAGUCUUGAUGGAGAUGGGCUUAAAGAUGCCAUCUCGGAAGUUUGAUGAUGAGAGCUUCAGAGUGCGUCGUACGUUAGAAGAUAUCUGAAGUCAUGGGUGUCACUGGGUCAUACGCCAGACCGUAUAGUGAGUCAUUCAUUAGGCCGUCGACUUCACUGGGGAGUUAGAAUGGGUCAUACGCCGCUGGGGAUAAAGGAUCAGAAUGGAUCGUACGCUAGAUCGUAUCUGAGUUGCGAAACGAGCCGUCCGUUAGGCUGUAUCGUUACUGGGGGUGAAGGAUCAGAAUGGAUCGUAUGCUAGAUCGUAUCUGAGUUGUAGACUGAGUCGUCCGUUAGGCUGUACCUGAUGAUGAAGGGGGUAGUCAUACGCCAGACUACACUUCAGAAUGUACCGUACGCUAGGUAGCAUUUGAGGGGAUGAACCUCCAAGCGGGUCGUAAGCUAGACCGUCUCUGAGUAGCAGAACGAGCCGUCCGUUAGGCUGCAUCUGAUAAUAAAGGGGUAGUCAUAUGCCAGACUACACUUCAGAAGGUACCGUACGCUAGGUAGCACCCGAGGCCUUGAAGGUCCAAAUGGGUCGUAUGUUGGACCGUAUUGGAGUUGUUGAAGGUCGGAAUGGAUUGUACGUUAGAUCGCAUCUGAGUUGAAGGAGUCAUAUGUUGAGAUGAAUCAGGAUGGACCGUAUGCUAGGCAGUACCUGAGAAAUAAAGGUCCAACUGGGUCGUACAUUAGACCGUGUUGGAGUAGUUGAAGAUCAGAAUGGAUCGUCCGUUAGAUCGUAUCUGAGUGGAAGGAGUUAUAUGUUGGGCUGAAUCAGAAUGAACCGUACGUUAGACUGUAUCUGAUCGUAUUUGUAGAUGCUGUAUUUGCAAUGAAUAUCUGGGGUGGGCUUAAAGAUGCCACCAUUAGGAGGAUAUCAGAGUGCUUAUCAGAAUGAAUGUAUUUGAAUCUUGAAUGUAAUCGAUAAAGAUGUCCGUCUGAAUGGAUCUUCAUUUUGACUGUAUCAGGAGGAUAAUUAACCUGAAAAAUAAAGUUAGCUUCAUGCCAUGUCAUGAUGCAUGAGAUGUUUUAUGCUUCUGAAACUAAAUGCGUAUGUUGUGAAAUGAUGUAAUGAAUGAAUUAUGCAUCAGAAAAGUUCUUCCAGGGGACUCUACUGGGGAAAAUAAAUCUCAAUCUUCUGGUUGGGAGAUACUGGUAUCGAUGACCCUUUCUUAGCCGGAGAUGCUUGAUUUCUGUCUGAUGGUAGAAAUGUUCAACAGAAGCCCGGCUGGGGGUGGAAGAGAUGACCCAUUUGUCUAGUAAUGCCACUCUCUUCUGGGAAUGACUGGCUUUGCUGGGGAAUAGGAUUAGCAACGGAUUCAUUGGAAAGCAUGAUUAGACCUUCUCCUCGAUCCUGAAGCCUAGUAGUAAUCGCUAUUUCUAUUUUAUGCACGCAUUUUUGGUAAACAUCGAUCAUAUCCAAAUGCAUAUAUUAAUUCGAAUUAAAUCAAUGGACGUUUAUGCAAACAAAACAGAGAA